rnacentral:rRNA from 1 species
CUCAGGAUAGCUGGAACUUUUUUGAAUAGUUUUAUCAGGUAAAGCGAAUGAUUAGAAGCUCUGGGGAUGAAACAUCCUCGACUUAUUCUCAAACUUUAAAUAGGUAAGAUGACUGUAGUACUUAAUCUGACUAUUAGUCUCUUGAAUAGUAAGUUCUUAGUGGGCCAUUUUUGGUAAGCAGAACUGGCGAUGUGGGAUGAACCAAACGUAAAGUUAAAGUGCCUAAAAAUACGUUCAUCAGACACCACAAAAGGUGUUGAUUCAUCUUGACAGUUGGACAGUGGCCAUGGAAGUCGGAAUCUGCUAAGGAGUGUGUAACAACUCACCAACCGAAUGAAUUAGCCCUGAAAAUGGAUGGCGCUUAAACGUAUUACUUAUACUUUACCAUUAAGAUAAAUGCUAAAUCUUAAUGAGUAGGAGGGC